CCUUGGGGUCAAUGGGAUCUGUGGGAUCUGUAGGGUCCAUUGGGUCUGUAGGGUCCUUAGGGUCAAUGGGAUCUGAGGUCCAUGGAGUCCAUGGAGUCUUUGGGGUCCAUGGGGUCAAUGGGAUCUGUUGGAUCUGUAGGGUCCGUUGGGUCUGUUAGGGUCCAUGGGGUCAGUGGGAUCUGCGGGGUCCAUGAGGUCCAUGGAGUCUUUGGGGUCCAUGGAGGCUGUGGGGUCCUUGGGGUCCAUGGAGUCUUUGGGGUCCAUGGAGGCUGUGGGGUCCUUGGGGUCUGUAGGGUCCUUGGAGCCAAUGGGAUCUGUGGGGUCCAUGAGGUCCAUGGAGGCUGUGGAGUCUGUGGGGUCCUUGGGGUCAAUGGGAUCUGUGGGAUAUGUAGGGUCCGUUGGGUCUGUAGGGUCUGUGGGGUUUCUAGGGUCCUUGGGGUCAGCGGGAUCUGUGGGGUCCAUGAGGUCCAUGGAGUCUGUAGGGUCUGUGGGGUCAAUGGGAUCUGUGGGAUCUGUAGGGUCCUUGGGGUCUGUAGGAUCCUUGGGGUCAAUGGGAUCUGAGGUCCAUGGAAUCCAUAGAGUCUU